GAAGGCAGCAUGCCGCCUUUCCCAAGAUGACUGGUGGUGUCUCCCCCAAAAUCCUGGAGAGGAUACGGCAGACCGCAGACACUGCGUUGGCAAACCUUGUACUUGCUUCAGUGUCUCAUGUUCUCUAUGGCUCACAUAAAACCAUCCUUUGUCGGAGAGGCCCAGCGGAAGAGCUGAUCCUGACCUGAAGUGAGGUCUGUCAGUGGAAGACGAUCUUCUCAGCCCCCAUCAGCUACGGAGGCUCCAUCAAGGAAUAAUGCCCCAGAGGGUCUUCACAAAACAGGGUGAUAUGGGGGAGACAGUUGACAAGCUGCCUUGUGUCACGAAGCACACAGACACCAGGGAUCUUCUUCCACUGCCUGAAGAUGCUCCUUGCCCAGCAGAAUGGAUGAAGUAUUCAUGGAACAUGCAUGAAGAGACUUUCUCCAGAAGCAGCGGUUUGACUGAAGGCAGGGGCCAGGGCGGGGAUGAAGAAGCGCCCCAAGGAGUUCUAGGCAAGGCAUCGCUCCCGGCCUCUUACACCCCACCCCGGAGGUGUGAGAACCGCCCCGCCUGUCCUUCCUCCUGCCCCACGGGCCCCCCGCGCCCCCCAGCGCCAGCGCCGGGGCCGUGACUGGCCCCCGGGCAGGAGGGGCCGGGCGGUGGGGCAGCGGGUUCAGGGGCGGCGGGCAGGUUCCCAGUUCGCUCCGGGUGGAAGAGGAGUGGGAACAGCACAGGAGGCAAGGAGAUGAAGAAGGCCCAGCACGUGCGAAAUGUGAAAUAGGACGGUCUGACAGCUGCAUUUUGAGGAUGGGAAGGCGUGUUGGGGAAAGACAGAAAGCACUUUAAAACAAUUUCAGGGAGGAGGUUUUCCUGGUUGUUUCUUGGUUUUUUUCAGAAGUCAUUAAAUGAGAUGUACAUUAUGUGUACAAGGCAAGCUAGCUUGGCAACGUUAAGGAGAUAAUAAAGUGCACCACAGAGUUUUCAUACUGUAUUUGAACAGUGUAAAUUAGUGAAACGCCAGAGAAAGCAAACUUGUUUGCACCGGUUGAGAACUUAAACACGUUGUGAAGUUAGCGUUCCUGUGCUGUUUUCAUAUUGUUUGAACUUCCCUACAGUUGCAGUAGUUACUUGUGAAUUUGUGAAAAAGAAAAAUAAAAUCUUUCCAUUCUGAUCAAGGA